rnacentral:rRNA from 1 species
UACGAAGGGGGCUAGCGUUGUUCGGAAUCACUGGGCGUAAAGCGCACGUAGGCGGACUUUUAAGUCAGGGGUGAAAUCCCGAGGCUCAACCUCGGAACUGCCUUUGAUACUGGGAGUCUUGAGUGUGGUAGAGGUUGGUGGAACAGCAAGUGUAGAGGUGAAAUUCGUAGAUAUUUGCUAGAACACCAGUGGCGGAGGCGGCCAACUGGACCAUAACUGACGCUGAGGUGCGAAAGCGUGGGGAGCAAACAGG